UACGUAGGGUGCAAGCGUUGUCCGGAUUUACUGGGCGUAAAGGGCGCGCAGGCGGCCUGGUAAGUUACUCGUGAAAGCCCCCGGCUAAACCGGGGAGGGUCGAGUGAUACUGUCAGGCUAGAGAGCAGCAGAGGAUAGUAGAAUUCCCGGUGUAGUGGUGAAAUGCGUAGAGAUCGGGAGGAAUACCAGUGGCGAAGGCGGCUAUCUGGGCUGUAUCUGACGCUGAGGCGCGAAGGCUAGGGUAGCAAACAGG
rnacentral:rRNA from 1 species